rnacentral:rRNA from 1 species
UCCCAACUGUUUACCAAAAACAUAGCCUUUAGCCCUAACAGUAUUAGAGGUCCCACCUGCCCAGUGAAUAAUAUUUUUAAACGGCCGCGGUAUCCUAACCGUGCAAAGGUAGCGUAAUCACUUGUCCCCUAAAUAGAGACUAGUAUGAAUGGUUAUAUGAGGACAAACCUGUCUCUUAUGGGCAAUCAGUGAAACUGAACUCCCAAUACAAAUGUUGGGAUACUCCUAUAAGACGAGAAGACCCUGUGGAGCUUCUAAACAAACUAUAAAGACUAUUAUAGCAAGUUUUUAGUUGGGGCGACUUCGGAAAAAAACAAAACUUCCAAGCACAGGACUACAACUCCUUUACUGGUCAACAAACCCUUAAAAUACUGACCCGGCUCAGUUACCGAAAAACGAACCAAGUUACCCCAGGGAUAACAGCGCUAUCUUCUUUUAGAGUCCAUAUCAACAAGUUUAAGGCUUACGACCUCGAUGUUGGAUCAGGACACCCAAAUGGUGCAGCCGCUAUUAAUGGUUCGUUUGUUCAACGAUUAACAGUCCUACGUGAUCUGAGUUCAGACCG